rnacentral:rRNA from 1 species
UACGUAGGGUGCGAGCGUUAAUCGGAAUUACUGGGCGUAAAGCGUGCGCAGGCGGUUCGCUGUGUCCGAUGUGAAAGCCCCGGGCUUAACCUGGGAAUGGCAUUGGAAACUGGCGGGCUUGAGUGCGGCAGAGGGGGGGUGGAAUUCCGCGUGUAGCAGUGAAAUGCGUAGAGAUGCGGAGGAACACCGAUGGCGAAGGCAGCCCCCCUGGGUCGACACUGACGCUCAGGCACGAAAGCGUGGGGAGCAAACAGG